UACGUAGGGUCCGAGCGUUGUCCGGAGUUACUGGGCGUAAAGGGCGCGCAGGCGGCGGUGCUGGCCCGGCGUGAAAGCCCCCGGCUCAACCGGGGAGGGUCGUCGGGGACCGCACCGCUUGAGGGCGGUAGGGGCCGGUGGAAUGCCUGGUGUAGUGGUGAAAUACGUAGAGAUCAGGCAGAGCACCUGGGGCGAAGGCGGCCGGCUGGGCCGUCCCUGACGCUGAGGCGCGAAGGCGUGGGGAGCGAACGGG
rnacentral:rRNA from 1 species